UAAGCUUGGGAGUAACUUACACUGUGUCAAGUGGUAAGACCACUAACGAUGGGGGAGUUCAUUCGUGCAGCUGCUCCGUCCCAGAGGGAAAAGAAGAGAGUACCCGCCAGAUGCAGAACACCUGGGUGUGCCAAGCGUUCCCAGCACAGGGUGGCCUUGGAAGCCAGAAGAGGGCAUCUGGUCCCCGGAGCUGGAGUCAUAGGAAGUUGUGAACCACCCGAGAUGAAAACUGGGAAGCAAACUCUGAUCCUCUGUAAGAGCAGAAAGCACUCUUGACUGACAAGCCCUCUAUCCAGCCUCUGUAUAAUAUUUCAAAGAAGUAAAGAAAUUAACAAAUCUGGUAUCCGAACACUCAUCAUCCAGAGCUGUGGCGUCCUGACAUUUAUAUUUCUACUGCAUCUUCCUACUGUAUAAUGUAUUUGAAAUUCUGUACCUAUUACAUGUCAUCGAACUUCAUGUAAGAUGUGUCAUACCUACCCUGCCAGAGAGGUGGCUCAGCAUUUGGGGGCAUUUGCUAUAGCAGAAGACCACAGUUUGGUUCUCAGCACCCGGACAGUCUCCAGUGCUGUCCUGUCAUCCUAUUGGGAAGAAGUCCUGUAUCCAAGUACCUGAGUUCACCUACCAGUCUUCUGAGAGAUGAGCACACUCAUUUUUUAUCUUGAGUUUUGUCUCCGAUUCUGUCCGAUAGCACUUUCAAUGGGAGUCACCUAAGUGAAGCAGGUAAAAUGUUACCCUCUCCUUAUGUGAUUUCUUUUUUUACAUCCUGUUUAAGAAAUCUUUUGGGGCUGGGAAGAUGGGCCAUUAGUUAAGAGACCUUGUCACUCUUGAGGAGGACCAGGGCUCAAUUCUCAACACCCACACGGUGACUCACAACCAUCCACAACUCCAGUUCCAGGGGACCUGACACUCUCUUCUGAC